UGACCGCGGAGCGGAGCCGGGGAGCCAGCGGCUGCGGGGCUGAUGGAAGUGGAGUGGGGGCUUGAGAGGGCACCGAACUGUAUCCAGCAUGCUCCAAGGCCACAGCCCUGUGUCCCAGGCCUUGCUGGGGACCUUCUUCACCUGGGGGAUGACGGCCGCCGGGGCAGCUCUUGUGUUCGUGUUCUCUAGCGGACAGCUUGCUGCGCCCGUGCUCCUGGGUCCCCUGCUUCCCCGCUCCUGACUCAGAGGGAGCAGGAAGUGAGAAGACCAGGUACUCAGCCUCCUUGAGCCCUCUGCCUGAUUUCUACCUGCCGUCUAGUUUCUCUUGGGUCCGGAGCAGGUGGUGAUGUGCGUGAGGUUUGUACCUCUCCUGCCCUGUGGCCUUGAGUUAAGAUGGUUGAAAAGACCUUGGGAAAAGGCAGUGGGGGGGGCGUCUGUCCACUUC